CUCAUAUUUGGCACGCUAAAAGGAUGCAAAUGUCGGAAUUGUGGAACUUUAAAAUUCCUCUUCGUCCAUUUGAUAAAGGAAUAAAGUUUGCUUACAACUGCGUAAAAAAAAACUGCGCUGUUCUGUGGGAAAAUAUUGCAUUUAUCUUAGCAAAAUUUUUAACGCUGAAUUUACAUGUGACGAGAUUGGCCUCGUGAC